UGCUUCUCCGCACAGGUGCCGGUGGUUGCGACUGUCGACAAUUGUGUGUCAUACAACAUGUCCAUCACAUGUUUGAUCAGGCUGCCUCAGUGACGGUUAUGACCGUGGCGCAGAGGUAUAUACAGGUCAUUUCAUCCUCAGUUCUUCAGGUCACUUAUUGCUGCAAUAGCUGGGGAGGUUGGAAAGGAGCGUGAAUUGUAUGGC